rnacentral:rRNA from 1 species
UACGGAGGUGCGAGCGUUGUCCGGAAUCACUGGGCGUAAAGGCGCGUAGGCGGCCUGAUAAGUAGGGGUGAAAUCCUGCGGCUUAACCGCAGGGCUGCCUUCUAAACUGUCAGGCUAGAGCACAGUAGAGGCAGGUGGAAUUCCCGGUGUAGCGGAUGGAAUGCGUAGAGAUCGGGAAGAACAUCAGUGGCGAAGGCGGCCUGCUGGGCUGUUGCUGACGCUGAGGCGCGACCAGCGGUGG